GGUCGAAAGGGGAAAUUCAUUCGCGUUUCGAUUGCGUCAGAGUUAAGCGUUUGUAUGACGGAUGACGUGUUCACGCGCCGUCUGCAUCUUUCGUUUUUCUAACUGAUAUCGAACGCGUGCACUUUUCCUCUAGUAGGACGUCGCGAUCCGUUAGGUGUCUGUCUAAGGCUCAAGGUGGAGACCGCGUGACUUUUUUUGUUACGUGGACCCUUGAUGUUCCCCGACACACUCGCUCGACGGUAUAAUAAUGGCGCAGGGCCGCUACACUCUAACCAGUUAGCGUUCGGCCCGUAACAAGCACGUUCUGUGUUUUGACGGCGAUCGGACUUCGUGCCGAUUCUGUCCCAGAACGUCUGUUGGUUACGGUGUUCUCGAACAGACCUUGU
rnacentral:rRNA from 1 species